AUUGAACGCUGGCGGCAGGCUUAACACAUGCAAGUCGAGCGGAGAUGAGGUGCUUGCACCUUAUCUUAGCGGCGGACGGGUGAGUAAUGCUUAGGAAUCUGCCUAUUAGUGGGGGACAACAUUCCGAAAGGAAUGCUAAUACCGCAUGCGCCCUACGGGGGAAAGCAGGGGAUCUUCGGACCUUGCGCUAAUAGAUGAGACUAAGUCGGAUUAGCUAGUUGGUGGGGUAAAGGCCUACCAAGGCGACGAUCUGUAGCGGGUCUGAGAGGAUGAUCCGCCACACUGGGACUGAGACACGGCCCAGACUCCUACGGGAGGCAGCAGUGGGGAAUAUUGGACAAUGGGCGGAAGCCUGAUCCAGCCAUGCCGCGUGUGUGAAGAAGGCCUUUUGGUUGUAAAGCACUUUAAGCGAGGAGGAGGCUACCUGGAUUAAUACUCUAGGAUAGUGGACGUUACUCGCAGAAUAAGCACCGGCUAACUCUGUGCCAGCCGCCGCCGUAAAAC
rnacentral:rRNA from 1 species